GCGGGAUUAGUUAAAUGGUAUAACGACUGCCUUCCAAGCAGUAGUCAGGAGUUCGAUUCCCCUAUCCCGCA
rnacentral:tRNA from 1 species